GCGUCCUUUGUUCUGGGGGCUCCUGGAUGGGGGCACAGACAGCACCGGCCACGGCCAGCUGGGGGCAUGAGCCCACCCGGCCAGGGAAGGGGAGAGGGGCGGAGACGGGCAGAGCCUCCGUGAGCGCCUGCAGUGUGAAGCUCAGAGCUUCCGGUGGGUCCCCUCCCCGUGAGCCAGGGCCCUGUGUGGGGACCCUGGGCCUCCCCGUGAGGCUGUCCUGUGGCCGUGUCCUCCACGAUGACCGUCAGACUGAAGGGUGUCCCGAGCUCUGGGCCUUCCUGGCCAACGCGGGGCCACCCGGGGCCCAGGGAGCCCAGUUCUCAGCAGGGCCAAGAGAAGCCUGAUGACAGAGGUGGAGCCCUGGGGCCCGUCUCCGGGGGACAAGGCCAGUCAAGUUCAUUGUAGGACCCCAGCACCUUCCAGGGAGAGCCGUGGACGACUGCGUGUGACCUCAUGGCUGGCUUCAGACGAGACGCCCUGCAGGACAGCAGGAUGUGGCCGUGCCCUGAAAGGCCCCCUUCCGCCUACCGGGGCCCCAGUGAUCCUCAACCGGGAGUGGGCCCAUGGAGGAGAAUGGGAGCCAGUGUCUGACCCUCGGCCGCACCUCGCAGGAGCUGCCCGCAGCGGCCCGGCUGUGAGCCACCACGUGCCCGGGAGAAGGGGCCCACAGGACCAAGGUGGCCAAUGUCACGGGGUCCUCGCUGGAUGCCGCCUCUGCUGGAUGAAGACUGAAGCUGAGCACAAGCGGCCCCCGGGGCCCCCGCCUGCAGUCCCUCCUUCCUUUCUGUCACAAGUUGCCAGCCAGGAGCAAGUGACAAAGGCAGAUAACCUCCCGGAACCUCGGCUUCCUCGUCUGUGAAAGGCAGAUAACCACAUCUCCCUGAAAUCAGGGGCCAUCUGGGAGAUGCCGACCAGGAGCUCAGAACUGCCCGUCCUGCAGGACCAUCCCAGGGAGCGACUGUGCCAGCCAGGGUCCUGCAGAGGGGACCGGGCAGGGGAUGGUGGACGAUGGGGAGGACAGGUGGCCACGGGGAGCAGAGGGGAGACCCUGGGGCUGGGGCAGGGAGGACCCCUCGGUAGGGCUGAGGGCAGAGCUGGGCACCCUCCCUCCAGCUCAGCCUGGGGCUCGGCGGCAGAAAGAUGCGAGCGACCACAGCCUGCUUUAUUGAAAAAGAAAAUAUUCCCUGAAAGACAUUAAAUGAAGUAAAUAAAAGAGAUAAAAAUGGAAA